rnacentral:lncRNA from 1 species
AUAAGUGGAUUUUAUAUCCACUUGGAAGCCUUCGUUUUGACUUAAAUUGAUGAUAUGGCCUCAAGCUUUUGAUGUUUUUGAUAUAUUUUAGUGUUGUCUUGUGAAGGUUUCUUGGAAAGAGGACGAAGAGGAGAUUCAUAGCUUUCAUUGGAAAAAAACGGCGAAGCAAUCAGAUGCGCGAGUCAAAAGUUAUGGACAAAGAAGCAUUGGCUACGCGGGCUGCUGAGUUGGGGCACCCGCGCCACCGUUGGCGCACCCGCGCCAAACCGUCAG